AUUUGUGAUCUAAUUGUUAAUUUUGUUUGAUAAAAGGAGGGUUGCUUUGUGACCCAAUGCUUGAUUUUUCUUUGAAAAGUUGUAACAUUGUGGCAUUUCCAGUUUAGAUUUCUAUGUUUCUUUACUUUGAUUUUUUAUGUAGUUAGUUUUCUCUAUUUUGGCUCUUGUGACUUGAUCGCACUAUUCUUGUCCUGAGCUGGGGGCUGUGGGAAACAACCACUCUACUUCAUCUGAGGUAGUGGCGCGGAUUGUUACACUUACUCCCUAUACUCCAUUCUGUGGGAAUAUGCUAAAAUCCAAAUGUCAUUAAGAAAUGGUUUUCUCUAUAAGUAGUUCUUUUGAGUCAAGCUCAAGAUUUUAUUUAGGAGGUUUUAGGAAUAGACUAUUUGAUCCAUCUGUUAUAAAUGUUAUCUCUAAUAAAUUUGUGGUAAUUCAGGCUAUGUAAGGAGUUUUCUGUGUAAUCGAUUGAAGCUAGAACUACACCUUCCUCGACCUCAUAUGACAGAAAUGGUGAUGCAUUUUGUCAUUAUAGUUCCCAAUCUUGGUGCUUCAUGGAUUCUUGAAUGAUAUUUAGAUGUUUUAUCUGGUUAAGUAUGGCUUAAGCUAAAGCGACAAACGUACAGGACUUGACUGUAUGCUACUUUAUCAACUGGUUUUUAAACAAAAUAAGGGAUGGUUAUUUUUGCUAACAUUCAUGGGGGAACAAACAUUUGUCUUAGCUGAUUAAAGUUGAUUGUCGCUGCUCUUCUUUAAAUUAUUGGCGUGAGAAGUAUUUUAAUCAAAAUAAAGUUUCCUUGAAUGUUCCAUUGACGUCCCUUUAUGUGCAUUUGA
rnacentral:lncRNA from 1 species